CCUCACGUCCACCCCCUGGGACGGUGCCUCGUCCUUUGCGAGGGAUGCGAGGGUCACUGUCGAGUGGGUGGAGCAACACCUCCGCUGCCUCCUCACGUCAACGGCACCAAGAGCAGGGUCACCUUCCACGAGUUCCUCUACUAUCUCAAGUUUCUUGCUUCGCUUUAUCCUCAAAUUAGGGGCUUACUUCCAAGUCUGCUUUAUGUUUGCUUACGAGCUAUGAUUACCAUUUUUUGUGCUGCAAAAGGUGCUAAAUUAACUGGCUGAACAAGCCAGUGCUCCUUGAACCACAGAGACUUGAUCUGCAGAUUCUUCCAUUGGGUAAUGUUUCAUAUUUGACCACUUUAGAGGCGGGAGGAACAAAAUGACUAAUACUAGAGGCAACACGCAAUACAAAGUUCUAUCUCCAGCAUGCAUUGGACGGGAGGAAUAGGAACAAAAUAUUAUCAGUGCUGCAAUGAAGUAUAGGGUUCAUAUGAGGGUCUUUUUCUCGUGUUAA